GGCUGCAUAGUUUAAUGGAUAGAACUUCGGAUUUCGGCUCCGACAGUGAGGGUUCGAAUCCUUCUGCGGUCACAA
rnacentral:tRNA from 18 species